rnacentral:rRNA from 1 species
UACGUAGGGGGCUAGCGUUGUCCGGAAUCAUUGGGCGUAAAGAGCGUGUAGGCGGCCCGGUAAGUCCGCUGUGAAAGUCCAGGGCUCAACCCUGGGAUGCCGGUGGAUACUGUCGAGCUCGAGUCCGGAAGAGGCGAGUGGAAUUCCUGGUGUAGCGGUGAAAUGCGCAGAUAUCAGGAGGAACACCAAUGGCGAAGGCGGCUCGCUGGGACGUGACUGACGCUGAGACGCGAAAGCGUGGGGAGCAAACAGG